rnacentral:lncRNA from 10 species
UUGACCUUAGUGAGGUGAAAAGCCAUUGGAGGGUUUUGCACAGUUGGCAUCCAGUUGGCAUUAAAGACAUAAAGUUACUUGAAUAACCCGAAAAUGAGGGUAUAGCAUAGCAAAGAGGUCUGAGGUCUGGGGCACUCCAACUUUUAGAAGUCAGAGGGUGAAGUUCCUACCAAAGGAGACUAAGAAAGAGAAGGAAUGAUGUGAGAGAAACAGCAAAAGACACAGAUAUGCCAAAAUACAACCAAGAAAAGUGCUUCAGGGAGGAAAUAGUUGAAAUGUUUCCAAAUAUUUUGAUGGUUCAACUAAGAAGUCUGCAAAUAGAGAAUGUAAUGUGGCAAGGCAAAGUGACAAAAAGAAGAA